rnacentral:rRNA from 1 species
GGCAGCAGUGAGGAAUAUUGCGCAAUGGGGGAAACCCUGACGCAGCAACGCCGCGUGUGGGAAGAAGGCCUUCGGGUCGUAAACCACUUUUGCACGGGACGAAAAAGGGAUAUCGAACAAAUAUCCCCGAUGACGGUACCGUGAGAAUAAGCCACGGCUAACUCUGUGCCAGCAGCCGCGGUAAGACAGAGGUGGCAAGCGUUGUUCGGAAUUACUGGGCGUAAAGAGUCUGUAGGUGGUUUGUCAAGUCUUUGGUGAAAGGCCGUAGCUUAACUAUGGGAAUGCCAAAGAGACUGGCAGGCUGGAGGCUGGGAGA